GUUGACUGAACAUUCCCACAGAGCCCUG
rnacentral:piRNA from 1 species